rnacentral:rRNA from 1 species
AAUAAUGGACAAUGGUCGCAAGCCUGAUCCAGCCCUGCCGCGUGAGAGAAGAAGGCCCUAGGGUUGCAAAUCUUUUUCACCCGGAAAAAUGAUGACGGAAGCGGGAGGAGAGACACCGGCACACUACGUACCAGCAGCCGCGGUAAUACGGAGAGCGCCAGCGUUGUUCGGAUUUACUGGGCGUAAAGGGCGCGUAGGCGGAUGUUCGCGUCAGAGGUGAAAGCCCCGGGCUCAACCUGGGAACUGCCUUUGAAACGGGACAUCUUGAGUUCGUGAGAGGGUAGCGGAAUUCCCAGUGUAGAGGUGAAAUUCGUAGAUAUGUGGAAGAACACCGGUGGCGAAGGCGGCUACCUGGCCCGUUACUGACGCUGAGGCGCGAAAGCGUGGGGAGCAAAC